rnacentral:tRNA from 1 species
GGGGGUGUGGCUCAGUGGUAGAGCAUUUGCCUGAUGUGCAAGGUGCUGGGAUCGAUCCCUGGUGACACCA